GUGAGUGAAGAAGGCCUUCGGGUUGUAAAGCUCUUUCUAGUUGAGAAGAAAAGAUUGUGACUAAUAAUUGCAAUUCAUGACGGUAUCAACAGAAGAAGCACCGGCUAACUACGUGCCAGCAGCCGCGGUAAUACGUAGGGUGCGAGCGUUAAUCGGAAUUACUGGGCGUAAAGGGUGCGCAGGCGGUUCUGUAAGUCAGAUGUGAAAUCCCCGGGCUUAACCUGGGAACUGCGUUUGAAACUACAGAGCUAGAGUGUGGCAGAGGGGGGUGGAAUUCCAUGUGUAGCAGUGAAAUGCGUAGAGAUAUGGAAGAACAUCGAUGGCGAAGGCACGCCCCCUGGGUCAACACUGACGCUCAUGCACGAAAGCGUGGGGAGCAAACAGGAUUAGAUACCCUGGUAGUCCACGCCCUAAACUAUGUCAACUAGUUG
rnacentral:rRNA from 1 species